rnacentral:rRNA from 1 species
UACGGGGGGGGGGUAAGCGUUGUUCGGAAUUACUGGGCGUAAAGGGCUCGUAGGCGGCCAACUAAGUCAGACGUGAAAUCCCUCAGCUUAACUGGGGGAACUGCGUCUGAUACUGGAUGGCUUGGAUUCGGGGAGAGGAAUGCGGAAUUCCAGGUGUAGCGGUGAAAUGCGUAGAUAUCUGGAGGAACACCGGUGGCGAAGGCGGCAUUCUGGACCGACAUUGACGCUGAGGAGCGAAAAGCCAGGGGGAGCAAACGGG